rnacentral:rRNA from 1 species
UACGGGGGGAGCAAGCGUUGUUCGGAUUUACUGGGCGUAAAGGGCGCGUAGGCGGUCGUGACAAGUCACUUGUGAAAUCUCCGGGCUUAACUCGGAGCGGUCAAGUGAUACUGUCGGACUAGAGUACAGAAGGGGCAACUGGAAUUCUCGGUGUAGCGGUGAAAUGCGUAGAUAUGCGGAGGAACACCGAUGGCGAAGGCAAUCCCCUGGGCCUGCACUGACGCUCAUGCACGAAAGCGUGGGGAGCAAACAGG